AUGCCUUUUCAUGAGUUUCUGUCUUACUGAUCUAUCAGGGAAUGGUUAUUUCUGUUAGUUUGAAUUCUGAAAGAGAUAUGUUUUUGAAUGGAAACUGCAUAUGGGCAUAUAUGUUCAGUACAUCAAAUUUGUUGGGUUCUCCAACCGCAAUCUGGUUUUGUGUUACUGCUAGGUUGUCAUCAUACUUUGAUUUACUCAUAAAAAAAGAAAAAGGAAAAAAAGAAACUUUGUUUCAGAUCGCAAGAUAAACUUCAGACGUGUUUCUAUAAAUGCCAUGCUUCUAGAUCAAGUUCUUGAUUUCCAACAUUGUUAAAGUUCUGUGGAUUUUAUGGUUUCUUGCUUCCCCAUUCAUUUGUGAAGACAAUGAUACAUCUUCAGGAUGGUUAGCAUUCCCAAUAGGAUCUAUGGAGCUUGACUGUUUAGCCUGUUCAGAACUCACAUGGCUACCUUAUUUGACUCUUUGUGGACGGUAUAUGUUGAAUAUCAGAGCAAAAUCUUGAAUUUGUGGGUUCCCUCAUAAUGGAGAUGCAGUUAGCAAAGAAGAACUGAAUUAAAUUUCUGUUGAUGCUGUUAAAGCAAUCUGGGUGUUGGAGUUGUUAUCAUAAUUCAUAACGGCAAGCGGGAACUAUUAAAUAUGAUGCUAGCCGUUUUUCUCUCAGUGUUUUUGUUAAUCCAAACUGUAUUAAACCCCAACUUUUCAUUAUCUGAAUUUUUGGCAUUGCUGUUUUUAGACCAAUUCUGACUGCAUUUUUAAUGGUUGAAGCUGAAGUAAACACGGAUAUUUCCUGUACCUUUUUUUUUGUUGUUGUUGUAUGCUGUUCUGCUAACUAUGGUCAUGCCCAUGAUGUUAUCUGUCGUUGUAUCCAGUUGGCAAAGAAGAACUAAAUUAAAUUUCUGUUGAUGUUGUUAAAGCAAUCUGGGUGUUGGAGUUGUUGUCAUAACAGCAAGCAGGGAACUAUUAAAUAUGAUGCUGUUUUUAACGGCUGCUUGGUCUUCAUACUUAAUUCUUGGGUUUGGCUCAUUUUUCUCUGUGCUUCUAGCUCCUUAAUUAUAACUGUGUGAGGUUGGAAGCGCUGCAUCAAUUUCCAUUUGAUGGACUAGUGAUUGUUUAGUCAUUCCUCAGCAGUCAACUUCAUAAUAGGCAGACUGUUUCUGAAAAGAUGAGAAAUCUCUUAAACCAUGGUUGAUAGGAAAAUUUUCACCCUUUCUUUCAAUAUCCAUGUGCACUUUUCUUCUUCAACCCACACCUGUGCACCCAUUUUUAUUUAUUUAUUUUGUUUUUUUAUGUCACUCUUGUUACUCUUUCCAAAGUUGCUUGUUCGCAGGUCAGCAUCUUAGCCAGAAUCUUGAAUCAUGGUGUGAAUAGAUUGCCAUUUUAGAAACGCCUUUUUUUGAGAGAUGCCAUUUUAGGAAUGCUGCACAUGAAGUUCAACUAGAUUGCCAAAGCAGUUUUAUUAUUCUGGGAUUGGGCUCCGUGAAUUGUGGGUUUCUUUUGGCCUCCUCCGGGCCUUUGUGUGGCCCAGGGGCUGCUGCUGUUGUAAUUCUCCUUUUUCUCUUUUUAGCAUAGAUUUCUUUUCUUCUGUUUUUUUCUCUUUGUUCUUGUUUUUUCAGCUCUGGCCUAAUAAAAUUGCACCUUUCAAAAAAAAGUUCUACUAGAUGUUGGGUGCUACUGUAGCUGGCUACAUAGCUUGUAGUAGAAUCUGGUUUACUCAGAAGGCAUACCUAAGCAGCUUGGUGGCCAAGUUCUGCUGGACUUUCUUGGCUUGAACUGCUGUUUACAGUUGCCUGGAUUUUAUUUUAUCCUCUUUCUAUAGUGACUUUAAAUCUCUUGAGAGCUGAGCAAAGUUGGCUUUGACACUAUUGUUUUGCAAUGUAAUUUAAGAUAUGCCGUGUUGCUGUUAAAGGGGAUUUGCUGGACUU